rnacentral:lncRNA from 1 species
AAAAAUUUUCCACUAUGGUGGACCACAAUCUUAAUUCGUUCCUCAUCCAUUAUGAAACUUUCUUCUAUAACCUGUAUAUUGGGGGAGACAAAUAUUAUAUGUAUUUCAGUGAUAGCUAAGUGGGGCACUCACUCACUCACUGCAUAUACACUAACACCGACACCGACAGGGGGACAUGGAACAAACCUAUAUCCCACUUACCCAUCAUUAAAAGGAAGGGGACCACUACACCGAAUAAAGAAUUCAAACAUGCAAAAUGGGACCACACACUCUAAACUACAAUAUAACCAC